UACGAAGGGGGCUAGCGUUGCUCGGAAUCACUGGGCGUAAAGCGCACGUAGGCGGCUUUUUAAGUCAGGGGUGAAAUCCUGGAGCUCAACUCCAGAACUGCCUUUGAUACUGAGAAGCUUGAGUCCGGGAGAGGUGAGUGGAACUGCGAGUGUAGAGGUGAAAUUCGUAGAUGUUCGCAAGAACACCAGUGGCGAAGGCGGCUCACUGGCCCGGUACUGACGCUGAGGCACGAAAGCGUGGGGAGCGAACAGG
rnacentral:rRNA from 1 species